rnacentral:rRNA from 1 species
GACGAACGCUGGCGGCGUGCUUAACACAUGCAAGUCGGACGGAAAGGCCCUGCUUUUGUGGGGUGCUCGAGUGGCGAACGGGUGAGUAACACGUGAGUAACCUGCCCUUGACUUUGGGAUAACUUCAGGAAACUGGGGCUAAUACCGGAUAGGAGCUCCUGCUGCAUGGUGGGGGAUGGAAAGUUUCGGCGGUUGGGGAUGGACUCGCGGCUUAUCAGCUUGUUGGUGGGGUAGUGGCUUACCAAGGCUUUGACGGGUAGCCGGCCUGAGAGGGUGACCGGCCACAUUGGGACUGAGAUACGGCCCAGACUCCUACGGGAGGCAGCAGUGGGGAAUAUUGCACAAUGGGCGGAAGCCUGAUGCAGCAACGCCGCGUGCGGGAUGACGGCCUUCGGGUUGUAAACCGCUUUCGCCUGUGACGAAGCGUGAGUGACGGUAAUGGGUAAAGAAGCACCGGCUAACUACGUG